rnacentral:rRNA from 1 species
CCUACGGGGGGCAGCAGUGGGGAAUAUUGGACAAUGGGGGGAACCCUGAUCCAGCCAUGCCGCGUGUGUGAAGAAGGCCCUCGGGUUGUAAAGCACUUUCAGUGAGGAAGAACGCCUGGUGGUUAAUACCCAUCAGGAAAGACAUCACUCACAGAAGAAGCACCGGCUAACUCCGUGCCAGCAGCCGCGGUAAUACGGAGGGUGCGAGCGUUAAUCGGAAUUACUGGGCGUAAAGCGCGCGUAGGUGGCUUGAUAAGCCGGUUGUGAAAGCCCCGGGCUCAACCUGGGAACGGCAUCCGGAACUGUCAAGCUAGAGUGCAGUAGAGGAAGGUAGAAUUCCCGGUGUAGCGGUGAAAUGCGUAGAGAUCGGGAGGAAUACCAGUGGCGAAGGCGGCCUUCUGGACUGACACUGACACUGAGGUGCGAAAGCGUGGGUAGCAAACAGGAUUAGAUACCCCAGUAGUC